UAGUGUUACAGCUCUAUUAGAAUUUGUCUAGCUCGUCUUCCAGUCUCACGGGAAGCCCCCC
ensembl:snRNA U7 U7 small nuclear RNA